UAAGACGUAGGAGGCGAGCGUUAUCCGGAUUUACUGGGCGUAAAGAGGCGCAGGUGGUUCUUCAAGUCGGAUGUAAAAUCUCCCGGCUUAACUGGGAGGGAUCAUUCAAUACUGUUGGACUAGAGGACAGCAGAGGGAGGUGGAAUUCCCGGUGUAGUGGUGAAAUGCGUAGAUAUCGGGAGGAACACCAGUGGCGAAGGCGGCCUCCUGGGCUGUUUCUGACACUGAGGCCCGAAAGCGUGGGGAGCGAACAGGAUUAGAUACCCUGGUAGUCCACGCCCUAAACGAUGAACACUAGGCGUUGGAGGGUCGGCCCCUUCAGUGCCGCAGCUAACGCAUUAAGUGUUCCGCCUGGGGAGUACGAUCGCAAGGUUG
rnacentral:rRNA from 1 species